AAAACUUCCCAAAACUCUACUCCCAAUUCAUGGAUCUCCGCUCAAAAUCCCUGGCCGGACUUAAAACCCAAGGUUUCACAGAAUCGCAAAUCGAAACCAAAUACUUUAUGCACAUGAGAUACGAGAAAACCGACACGGCUAUCAUGAUUAGCUGUGAUAUCGGAAAAUCCGAAGAUCUUGCGAGUUUUAGAGACGAAUUCCGAACGACUUACCGCAGGGAGUUCGGAUUUGUGCUCGAGGACCGUAAUAUUAUCAUCGAUGACGUCAGAAUUCGCACACGUGGAAAAUCGGGGUGCCACGUGGAGAAGACCAUCAAGCAGGCGGCUGAAGAUCAGAGACAAGCGGUUCUGAAGUCUGUGUCAUCGGUUUACUUUGAAAAUUUGAAGUUUGUGGAGACGGGGGUCUACUUGCUGGAGGAAAUGCUUGCCGGGCAGAUUAUCAAUGGUCCAGCUUUGCUUAUCGAUAAGAAUAGUACUAUAGUGAUAGAGCCGUCAAGUACGGUAACGAUUACCGAGCACGGAAAUGUAGAACUUCAGAUUGGAAAUGAUGUGGAGAAGGAUUUGACAACGGAGG
rnacentral:sRNA from 1 species